rnacentral:rRNA from 1 species
UACAGAGGUCUCAAGCGUUGUUCGGAUUCAUUGGGCGUAAAGGGUGCGUAGGUGGCGCGGUAAGUCGGGUGUGAAAUUUCGAAGCUUAACUCCGAAACUGCAUUCGAUACUGCCGUGCUUGAGGACUGGAGAGGAGACUGGAAUUUACGGUGUAGCAGUGAAAUGCGUAGAGAUCGUAAGGAAGACCAGUGGCGAAGGCGGGUCUCUGGACAGUUCCUGACACUGAGGCACGAAGGCCAGGGGAGCAAACGGG